rnacentral:rRNA from 1 species
AAACUUUCAACAACGGAUCUCUUGGUUCUGGCAUCGAUGAAGAACGCAGCGAAAUGCGAUAAGUAAUGUGAAUUGCAGAAUUCAGUGAAUCAUCGAAUCUUUGAACGCACAUUGCGCCCCUUGGUAUUCCGAGGGGCAAUGCCUGUUCGAGCGUCAUU